rnacentral:lncRNA from 1 species
GCCGAGUGACUGGUGCGCAGGGAUGGCUUUUGUUCCCAUGCAGUUCCUGUGCUUGGGACCUUUAUUUCUCAAUUACUGCAGAUGGAAAGAAAGGGGCUUCGAGGCUGUCUUUGUAAGAGUGGGUUUCUAAGUCAGUGGUGACGAUUUGCUGGGCUGGGGUGAUGAUCAGAGGGUAAAGUACUUACUGUUCCUGAAGACCUGCGUUCAGUUUCCAGCAGUCACAGACACACAGAGAACAGCACGUCAGUAGCCCCGGUGCUAGGCAAAGGAGAGAGUGGAUCCCAGAGACUUGCUAGCCAGCCGGUUCAAUGAAACAGGAGAGCUCCAGGCUCAGCGACACAUCCUGUCUUAAAAGAUGUAAGUUGGCAAGUGAUGGAAGACCCGUGAAGUGGCCUGCACACAUGCAAGCAUGGAUGUGUACCCCCUCACCCCACACAAGACAGCAAACCAUGUUGAAUGAUGCCGUUCCUUAGCAUGCCUCCUGCUCCUUCAACAACAUGCAUGAUUUUUGCUGCGGAAGCCAUCCUUUAGUAGGAGAGCGUCAUCUGGACAUAAACUCGCCUGUUUUUAUUUAAUUUGGAUUUUUGAGACAGAGUUUCUCUGUGUAGGCCUAAUGAUCCUGGAACCCACUCUGUAGACCAGGCUAGCCUUGAACUGUCCACUGUGGAGUAAAAAACUGGGUUCUCAUGUCGGCUUGGGGCUAGGGCCGCUGGGCGAGUUGGACACAGGAAGUUUGACUGUGCUGCAGACCCCACGGAACAGCCGGGCAGGCAUUGGACUGUGAGAAGCCAUGGGAUCACGCUUCGGGGGUGAGGAAAAGGCGCAGUCUGGGGUCCCCAUGGAACUGCAGGAGUCAGGCUCUGACUCUCGGGCACCACAGACUGCUUGGCACCGCGGACGAGCUGGUUUUGGGUCCUUGAGCCACAUGGAGGCCAGGGAUGACAGGUUCUCACUCUUGGACAUCUCAGAUGCCACUGCUUUACAUAGAUCUGAAUUCUUCAUGUGUACCAUGGUCUUUCUACCAGAAGAAUUUUUAGUAUUUCUUGCAGGAAGUCUCAUGGUAAGUAAUUCCAUCAGUUUUCCCUGAGAUGGUAUUUCUUCUCCACUUUUAAAGGACAUUCGUGUGUGCACGCCAGGGUGGGUGCCAGUGUGGGUAUUCGUAUGGAGGCCAGAUGUCAGCCUGGGUCAUUCCCCAGGAACUGUACAGCUUUGGAGGCAGGGUCUCACUGGUCUGAGACCCACAGAUUUAGCUAUGUUGGCUGAGCAGAGAGUCCCAGGGGUGCUCUUGUCUCCACCUCCCUAGGAUGACGAGUGUGCGCCAGCAUGCCUGACUUUUGGCACGGGUCUUAGGGCUGUAACCCAAGUCUUCAUUCUGCCUCAGUCAACACUUCCAACAAACCGGCUCUCCUUGUGUGUUUACGUAUCUCACUCCACUCCCUUCCUCCUCCCAUAGUUUCUGGAGAGAAGUCUGACGACCUUCUCAUUCAUGUUCCUCUCCCGGCAAGCUGUUCCCUCCUUCCCAAGUUUCCUUGUUGUCUAUAAUUUUCUGAAGAUUGACCAUAAUAUGCCUGGAUGCUGCUUUGGGUUACUGGUUCUCCUUAAUUGGGUUGCCAAUUCUCCUUGGUCGCCUUUAAGGUUCUUAAGAGUGGAGUCCAUCAUUAGUCAUUAAUUUUGGAAGAUUCUCAUUAACUAGUACUACUUCAAGUAGUUCUUCUGUGCCUUUUUCUAUAUCGUCUUUUCCUGGUAUCUCCAUUACAGGGAUGUAACUGUUUGCCAUUGUCCCCCCAUCCUUCUCCCAUAGUCUUCUUCCUCUUCUUCUUUUUCUUCUCUUCCUCUCCUCCUCUCUUCCUCCUCCCCUUUUUCCUUCCUUCCUUCCUUCCUCCUCCUCCUCCUCCUCCUCCUCCUCCUCCUCUUUAUUUCAUGGCUCUCUCCACUGACAUAUCCAUCUCCUGUGCCACCAUCUCUAACACAAUGCUUUGGACACUAUCAUGUCUUUUUAAUCCUUUUUCUUCUCUGCUUACACUGCCCUUCUGCCCCAACACGCUGCCCUUUCUCACCCUGCCCAGAUCCCUUCGUGUAGUAGUCCUGUGAUUUCACGUUUCCAAUGUAAUGAUCUCAACCUCUGGACCCGGUCUCAUGCUCCUUCCAAUGCUCGUUUUAUCUCUUUGGAUUGUUUUCUCCAUUGCCUCUUAGCAUGUCUGUAAUUCUCAGCUGAAAGCCAGAGGUAAUGUAUCAGGUAGUGAGAACAGAGGCAAACAGGCUUUUUAGUGAGAUUUUAUGUUUAUCCUUCAGGGCGUCAAGCUGUGUUUAAUGUGGACCAGAGCUGUGGGUGUCAGGCGCGUCCAUUUCCUCUCAUGCCCUGUAUUUUUUUUCCUCUUCCAUUGUCUUUGGGUUUCCCUGGAAACUUGUUUUUGAAGAGUCCACGUCUUGUGGAGCUCUCAGCUGUAAUGCACUGUUAUUAUCCUGGAGUCCUGUUGAUGUGGUGGUAAGGGACUGAGGAGGGAAGACAGCCAGUAAUCUUGUGAUUAAGUCUCUUUUUAAAGCAGGCCCAAAUCCCCGUGCAAUGGCUUUCAGAAGAUCCAUUCAGGUGUGCUCUCUCCACUCUCUCCUUGUGUAAAAGAGGGGUACUGGG